GGAGUUAGCCGGUGCUUCUUCUGCGAGUAACGUCACAGAUGUAAGGUAUUAACUUACACCCUUUCCUCCUCGCUGAAAGUGCUUUACAACCCGAAGGCCUUCUUCACACACGCGGCAUGGCUGCAUCAGGGUUUCCCCCAUUGUGCAAUAUUCCCCACUGCUGCCUCCCGUAGGAGUCUGGGCCGUGUCUCAGUCCCAGUGUGGCUGAUCAUCCUCUCAGACCAGCUAGGGAUCGUCGCCUAGGUGAGCCUUUACCUCACCUACUAGCUAAUCCCACCUGGGCUUAUCCAUCAGCGCAAGGCCCGAAGGUCCCCCUGCCUUUCCCCCGUAGGGCGUAUGCGGUAUUAGCACGUCGUUUCCAACCUGUUAUCCCCCACAAAUGGGCAAAUUCCCAGGCAUUACUCACCCGUCCGCCGCUCGUCAUCUUCAAAAGCCAAGCUUUUGAAAUGUUACCGCUCGACUUGCAUGUGUUAGGCCUGCCGCCAGCGUUCAAUCUGAGCCAGAAUCAAACUCUGA
rnacentral:rRNA from 1 species